AUGGGUGCUCGCUAGCUAAGCUAACGCAUAGAGAACUAACAAACGACUGUGCAACAGAGUGGGAGUCUGCGUCCAGGUUGAACAUGGCGGGAUGGUGACUGACAGUGCCAUGGAUACAUGGGAUGCCAGCAUGCAACAGCAGAGUGUCCCAAACAGCAACAGCGGUGUCGGCAUCAACCACCCAGCCUCUAACAUGGUCUAUGCAGUCCAUGCAGUCCAAGGCAGCCAACGUUGUAAUCGGUGCCUGGCAGGGGAGCCUGGGCACAUUAACCACAUCAUGGGGUAUUGAUUGGUUAUCGUCAUGAUCAGAGAUUGUUUGAAGAACUGAAGGGUCCUUGAGGAUGAAGAGAUUUGAUUGAUUGAUUGAUUGAUUGCUUGAUCAAGCCAUUGUGUAUGUGGCUGUGAACGUUUUAUCAGUGUGCCUUGCCUUUUCUUGCUUUUAACCACAAACACUGUAUUGCUUCAUGGAGAGCCUCACAUGUUUACACUACCUAACACUGGUAUGGGUAAAAUGGCUACUAACCAGACAGUAGACAUAAUAAUUUCAUACCGUCUUACUAACAUUCUGUUUGAAUGGAAAGAUAACCACUACAGUGUAGUCUACAUACAACCAUAAGGAAUGAGCCAUCAAGCCACCAUUAAUACUGUAACUUUACAAUGUAAUGUGGAUACUCAUUUAAAGUCAAUGGAUCUAUUAAAAAAAAUGACUUAUUGUCCCAGUAUCAAGACUGCUUCUAAAGCUGCCAGGA
rnacentral:lncRNA from 1 species